AUUACUCUCUGAUCAGAAAAUUAAUAUAAAAAUUUUUUUUUCCAUGAUUGCACGGACUGCUAUACCAUAAACUUAAAGGGCGCGCCUGUUAAGGUGAGACGUUAAUU